UACGUAGGGUCCGAGCGUUGUCCGGAAUUAUUGGGCGUAAAGAGCUCGUAGGCGGUUUGUCGCGUCUGCCGUGAAAGUCCGGGGCUCAACUCCGGAUCUGCGGUGGGUACGGGCAGACUAGAGUGAUGUAGGGGAGACUGGAAUUCCUGGUGUAGCGGUGAAAUGCGCAGAUAUCAGGAGGAACACCGGUGGCGAAGGCGGGUCUCUGGGCCGUAACUGACGCUGAGGAGCGAAAGCGUGGGUAGCAAACAGG
rnacentral:rRNA from 1 species